CGGGACAAUUUAUCUUGUGAUCCUCCAGAAAGAGAAGAGAGAGUGGAGCCUAAUUUUUUCCUUCUCACAACUCUGCCACCCUUGCCUCCAUUGCAAAGAAGGAAAUCCUCACAAAGGCUUUGACGUGUUUCUUACAAAAUAAGGUGGUAAAAACUGAAGCCAAAGGCAUCUAUUUCCAAGAAGAUUAGCCAGAAUCAGAAAAUUCCUAGUUAUUAUUAUUAGAAGCCCUUAUGCAUUCACCAGUUGGAGAAGUGAGAUAUGAGAUUUGAUGCAACUUGAUAUCAAGACUCCAAUGGAAAAGUCUAUUAAAAAAAAACGCAUUUGUGUGCAAAGAUCUGAAUGUAAUGUGCACAGCAUUUGAGAUGAUCAGAUUCACCAUUUAGCUGGACCGCUUAUCAUUUGCUGGACCACGAGGAGCC
rnacentral:lncRNA from 1 species